rnacentral:rRNA from 1 species
AGUGAACGCUGGCGGUAGGCCUAAUACAUGCAAGUCGAACGGCAGCACAGUAAGAGCUUGCUCCUACGGUUGGCGAGUGGCGGACGGGUGAGGAAUACAUCGGAAUCUACUUUUUCGUGGGGGAUAACGUAGGGAAACUUACGCUAAUACCGCAUACGACCUACGGGUGAAAGCAGGAGAUCUUCGGACCUUUCGCGAUUGAAUGAGCCGAUGUCGGAUUAGCUAGUUGGCGGGGUAAAGGCCCACCAAGGCGACGAUGCGUAGCUGGUCUGAGAGGAUGAUCAGCCACACUGGAACUGAGACACGGUCCAGACUCCUACGGGAGGCAGCAGUGGGGAAUAUUGGACAAUGGGCGAAAGCCUGAUGCAGCCAUACCGCGUGAGUGAAGAAGGUCUUCGGAUUGUAAAGCUCUUUUGUUGGGAAAGAAAAACAGCAGGUUAAUCUCCCGCUGUUUUGACGGUACCCAAAGAAUAAGCAACGGCUAACUUCGUG